rnacentral:rRNA from 1 species
UACGGGGGGGGCAAGCGUUGUUCGGAAUUACUGGGCGUAAAGGGCUCGUAGGCGGCCAACUAAGUCGAACGUGAAAUCCCUCAGCUUAACUGGGGAACUGCGUCCGAUACUGAUUGGCUUGAAUCCGGAAGAGGGAUGCGGAAUUCCAGGUGUAGCGGUGAAAUGCGUAGAUAUCUGGAGGAACACCGAUGGCGAAGGCAGUGUUCUGGGCCAGUACUGACGCUGAGGAGCGAAAGCGUGGGGAGCAAACAGG